rnacentral:rRNA from 1 species
AAGUAGGGGAUCGCAAGACCUUGCGCUUUUGGAGCGGCCGAUGCCUGAUUAGCUAGUUGGUGGGGUAAGGGCCUACCAAGGCGACGAUCAGUAGUUGGUCUGAGAGGACGACCAGCCACACUGGGACUGAGACACGGCCCAGACUCCUACGGGAGGCAGCAGUGGGGAAUUUUGGACAAUGGGCGAAAGCCUGAUCCAGCAAUGCCGCGUGAGUGAAGAAGGCCUUCGGGUUGUAAAGCUCUUUCAGUCGAGAAGAAAAGGUCGCGACUAAUAAUCGCGACUCAUGACGGUAUCGACAGAAGAAGCACCGGCUAACUACGUGCCAGCAGCCGCGGUAAUACGUAGGGUGCGAGCGUUAAUCGGAAUUACUGGGCGUAAAGGGUGCGCAGGCGGCUUUGUAAGUCAGAUGUGAAAUCCCCGGGCUUAACCUGGGAACUGCGUUUGAAACUACAAAGCUAGAGU